UACGAAGGGGGGCUAGCGUUGUUCGGAAUUACUGGGCGUAAAGCGCACGUAGGCGGUUCGUUAUGUCGGAUGUGAAAGCCCUUGGCUUAACCGAGGAAGUGCAUCCGAAACUGGCGAGCUAGAGUACGAAAAGAGGAUCGCGGAAUUCCCCAAGUAGAGGUGAAAAUUCGUAGAUAUGGGGAGGAACACCGGUGGCGAAGGCGGCCAUCUGGACGGAUACUGACGCUGAGACGCGAAAGCGUGGGGAGCAAACAGG
rnacentral:rRNA from 1 species